rnacentral:rRNA from 1 species
AGUGAACGCUGGCGGUAGGCCUAACACAUGCAAGUCGAACGGCAACACAGUAAGAUCUUGCCCUUAACGGUAGCGGGUGACGGACGGGUGAGGCAUACAUCGGCAUCUACUUUUUCGUGGGGGAUAACGUAAGAACGCUUACGCUAAUACCUCAUAUGACCUACGGCAGAAAGCAGUAGAUAUUCGCGCCUUUCGCGAUUGAAUUAGACGGAGUCGGAUUAGCUAGUUGGCGUGGUAAGGGCACACCAAGGCGACGAUCCGUAGCUGGUCUGAGAGGAUGAUCAGCCACACUGGAACUGAGACACGGUCCAGACUCCUGCGGGAGGCAGCAGUGGGGAAUCUUGGACAAUGGGCGCAAGCUUGACGCAGCCAUACCGCGUGGGUGAAGAAGGUCUUCGGAUCGUAAAGCCCUUUUAUUAGGAAAGAAAAGCAGCAGAUUAAUCUACGGCUGUUCUGACGGUACCUAAUCAGUAAGCACCGGCUAACUUCGUG